rnacentral:rRNA from 1 species
GAUUAUGGCUCAGGAUGAACGCUAGCGACAGGCUUAACACAUGCAAGUCGAGGGGCAGCACGGGAGUAGCAAUACAACUGGUGGCGACCGGCGCACGGGUGAGUAACGCGUAUGCAACCUACCUAUCAGAGGGGAAUAACCCGGCGAAAGUCGGACUAAUACCGCAUAAAACAGGGGCACCGCAUGGUGAUAUUUGUUAAAGAGAUUCGCUGAUAGAUGGGCAUGCGUUCCAUUAGGUAGUUGGUGAGGUAACGGCUCACCAAGCCGACGAUGGAUAGGGGAACUGAGAGGUUGGUCCCCCACACUGGUACUGAGACACGGACCAGACUCCUACGGGAGGCAGCAGUGAGGAAUAUUGGUCAAUGGGCGGGAGCCUGAACCAGCCAAGUCGCGUGAAGGAAGAAGGAUCUAUGGUUCGUAAACUUCUUUUGCAGGGGAAUAAAGUGCAGGACGUGUCCUGUUUUGUAUGUACCCUGAGAAUAAGGAUCGGCUAACUCCGUGCCAGCCGCAGC